rnacentral:rRNA from 1 species
UUCUUUUUCCACCGGAGCUUGCUCCACCGGAAAAAGARGAGUGGCGAACGGGUGAGUAACACGUGGGUAACCUGCCCAUCAGARGGGGAUAACACUUGGAAACAGGUGCUAAUACCGUAUAACAAUCGAAACCGCRUGGUUUUGAUUUGAAAGGCGCUUUCGGGUGUCGCUGAUGGAUGGACCCGCGGUGCAUUAGCUAGUUGGUGAGGUAACGGCUCACCAAGGCCACGAUGCAUAGCCGACCUGAGAGGGUGAUCGGCCACWUUGGGACUGAGACACGGCCCAAACUCCUACGGGAGGCAGCAGUAGGGAAUCUUCGGCAAUGGACGAAAGUCUGACCGAGCAACGCCGCGUGAGUGAAGAAGGUUUUCGGAUCGUAAAACUCUGUUGUUAGAGAAGAAYAAGGAUGAGAGUAACUGUUCAUCCCUUGACGGUAUCUAACCAGAAAGCCACGGCUAACUACGUGCCAGCAGCCGCGGUAAUACGUAGGUGGCAAGCGUUGUCCGGAUUUAUUGGGCGUAAAGCGAGCGCAGGCGGUUUCUUAAGUCUGAUGUGAAAGCCCCCGGCUCAACCGGGGAGGGUCAUUGGAAACUGGGAGACUUGAGUGCAGAAGAGGAGAGUGGAAUUCCRUGUGUAGCGGUGAAAUGCGUAGAUAUAUGGAGGAAC